rnacentral:rRNA from 1 species
AGUGAACGCUGGCGGUAGGCCUAACACAUGCAAGUCGAACGGCAGCACAGUAAGAGCUUGCUCUUACGGGUGGCGAGUGGCGGACGGGUGAGGAAUACAUCGGAAUCUACUUUUUCGUGGGGGAUAACGUAGGGAAACUUACGCUAAUACCGCAUACGACCUACGGGUGAAAGCAGGGGAUCUUCGGACCUUGCGCGAUUGAAUGAGCCGAUGUCGGACUAGCUAGUUGGCGGGGUAAAGGCCCACCAAGGCGACGAUCCGUAGCUGGUCCGAGAGGAUGAUCAGCCACACUGGAACUGAGACACGGUCCAGACUCCUACGGGAGGCAGCAGUGGGGAAUAUUGGACAAUGGGCGCAAGCCUGAUCCAGGCAUACCGCGUGGGUGAAGAAGGCCUUCGGGUUGUAAAGCCCUUUUGUUGGGAAAGAAGAGCAGCAGGUUAAUACCCCGCUGUUCUGACGGUACCCAAAGAAUAAGCACCGGCUAACUUCGUG